AUGGUAUCGGAGGUCUUAAUGUCUAGGCUUGUUUGUUGAUCUAUCGGCACUGACUGAAACUGGUUUGACCGCACCGAUCCACCCUUCUUAGGGCUCCGCCGAAAGUUUCCGGCACUGUGGUUUGCGGCAUCUCUUCAAUACUGACAUCAGACAGGUGCGGCCAUCGGCACCGAGAUGUGCACACCGUCGAGAACCGAACCGACUAAAGUAUUUAUAUAUAUAUAUAUAUAUAUAUAGCGUGAAGCGUGAUCCGGAACACGGAGCCAAAAAAAGUAAAGUGUGAAGUAAAAAAAAAAAAAAAACAGAAUGUUAGCGUGUGAAGUGAUGUUAGCGUGCGCGUGCCUAUCAAAAAAUAAAAAAUGUUAGCGUGUGUCAGGAGGACUGGAAAGUCUGAAUAAUCUCAGUGGUCUCGUCCAAGUUGUCUUGCAUUUUAAUAAGAAAAAAGAAAAAAAAAAGAAAAACGAUGCCAUAUUUGGUUACUGUUUAAAUUACUGUGUAAGUUAUUUUUUUCUUGUUUACUCUCAACCACAUACGUACUAUGAAACUGAGUUGUCUCUCUCUCCUUUUUAGACUCAAUUCACACACGAGAAAUUCUCUUUUGCAAAAUUAUGGCUUCUAGCCGCAAUGUCUACCUCACUAGUUUUUUUUGUUUUUUUUUUUUAUAAAUAAAAAAACUCACUUUCGUCUUUUAUAUUUGAUACUAUUGAUUGCUUUAUUUAAUUUUCUUGUUAAAGACAUAUUCUUAUUGUGUAUUAAAAAUAUAUGAAGGACUGUCUAUUUAUAUAGACAGGAUAUGUGUGCUUUACUUGCAAUAUGAGUGCAAUACCCACCCAAAAAAAAAAAAAAGAACAAUUGGCCUAAGCUCAUUACGCUUAUAUUCUAAUAGCUCUCUCAAACUCAUGCUGGGUGAAUAGAGACCAACAGCCCCUCUCAAACACAGUCUUAUUGUAUAUUAAAAUCGUAUAAAAAUAAAUAAGGGACUGUCAAUUUAUAUAGACAAAAUAUGUGUACUCUAUUAGCAAUAUGAGUGUAAUAUAAAAAAACUUGGAACAAUGUGUGCAAGUGGAGAUCCUAGCACUAGGUGACCUCAAGGGUGAGGUGAAAUAUGUUCUGUGCCAUGUAGCCAAUUCCUAUUUAUAAAAUAUUAUUUUUAGUUGAAUCCAAUCAUUGUUAGUUUUUUACGUUACAGUGACAUAUCUGUUAUAAAUAAACAAGCUUGCUCAUUGGUGGCUAGUGAGGUUCUAAAAUUUCUCUCUCAAUUUCUCACUUCUCUCACUCUCUCUAUCUUUGUCUUUCUGUCAUCUAUCUCAAAUAAUAAUGGCAUUCAAGAAAAACCUGCUAGUGUGCAGACCUUGUGGAGCUUUGCAUAGAUUCCAUGUCAUUCUCCCACACUUCUGAGGUUGAGAAGCUCAUCAAUAACUUGGUUUAAUAAUAUUUUAAUCCCGUUUAUUCUUUCUCUCUUCUCUCUGUGUCAGACUCUUUCUCUCUCUCUCUCUCUCUCUCUCUCUCUCAAUUUGUCUCUGACUUCUCUUGUCUCCCUCUCUCCGUCUUUAGGGAAGGUGUUGGAGCUUUGGGCCUGAAUAAAAGGUGUUGGAGCGGCGGUGAAGGAGAGUUUUGUGGGGACAAUUACGGAGGCAAGAUCAUCGUGGUCAAGGGGCUGAGGAUUUUGGUGGAUUGGCGUGGUGGGCCGUGGGUUUCUGGCGGUGGAGAUCGGUGAGUAAUUUGCCUGAAACCUCUUGUAAUUCGGUUUAGUUGGGAAACCCUGAAACCUCUUGUAAUUCAACAUGUGGCCCUAUAAAGCAAGUGGUGAUUAAUUGCCUUCCACUGAAAGAUUAAACGAAGUAUUCCUUAAUUUAAAUAAUAAGCCAUAAUUAAUUCUUUUGAAAUUGGGGUUGGUAAGAUAAUCCAGUACCCUAUAAUGGAGCUUAGUAUGGUUAUUACUUAUUACUGUAAACUUUGACCUCAAAAUGUGGAAGAUUAGCAAAUUGAAGCUUCCUUAAUUUAUAUGAGAAAACCGGCCGGUUCUAGUAUCUAAAAUUACAUAAAGGACAAAGAAAUAAGUCAAAUAGAUAUCAUCCCAAUCUUCUUCUAGAUGUAGUAUGCAUUUGGGAUGAGCUAAAUUUUUCGGCUUAUCUCUACUUUCAAGUUGAAAGGAACUCAUUAGUAAAACUUUGCUUUUUGAUGGGCAAAUAGAUUACUUUAGCGAGUGUAUCCCCACCCACAAUGGAAGGUAGCAGCAGCCCAUUUCUUAAAUUUCAAAAAAAGAAAACAAAAAAGAAAAAAACUUUUGUGAGUGUACUUCAAAGUUCAAAUUGAAUGGGCCUUGAUCACCAUGCCAAAAAGCCAACAAUUCACUUCAAAGGUCUCAUAGCUUAGUGGCAUGUCCGGAUAGCUCAAUUCCAAUAUGAGGUUUCUUCUCUAGCUCAAUGUAGCCAAAAGUGAGGGGGAAGAAACACAAAAAUCAAAAACAAAAACAAAAAAACUCAACAAAAUCAAAUAUUGGAGAGACCAUACCAGAUUAAAGAAUGCAUAUGAGAGGAUUCUUUAUAAUUAUUCACAAGAAAAGGAAAAAAAGAAAAAAAAAGAAAAAGAAAAAGAUCUUAAAUGACAUUUUUUUCAGCAAAAUAGUGUUUCCUACAAAAUAUUAACAAAUAUAAUUCAAGCACACACGAUUUAUGAAAUUGUGUAGCACCCUUAAAAUUAAAGAACUUCUAAGAAUUUUAAAUCUCGGAGUUCAUUUUGACAAUAACAAGGAAAGUAAGAAUAAAGAAGUAAACCAAACAUGUUUAAAUUAGUAUUAUAAUAAAAGCUGUACUAAUUGCUAACUAUUAAAAAUUCCUUGAUAUUUACCACAAUUGCCAUUCAUAGGCUCAAAUCAUUAAGGACUUCAGGCAAAGGAGAAUGCAAGACUACCUGCUUGCAAGUUCUGAGACUGGCUCUUGAAUUAGAUGUUGAAUUCGUUGAAAUGGAUUUUGAGGUAGUCAUCCCUUGAUAUUUAGAUGAUUAGAUCCCUCCUCCCUUUGGAAUAUAAACUAUGAAGUAUUAAUUAUUGACUUGUCCUUACAUAACUGUCAUAACUACCACAAGAAGUUCACUCUACACUAUUUUAUAUUUUUAAUUUCGGGUUCAUAAUGUAAAUCUUAAGUCUUAAACUUCUGUCUUCAUUUGUGUUAAUAUGUAAGACAUAUAGUGUUGAAAACCUAAACUAGUACAUUGAAAUUUGGUCUGAAUAUUUGUUUCUGCCAUAUAUAACUAUAUCUAAAGUUCAUUUAGCUUUGUUGUUUUCUUUAAUACUCCCAACUAAAGUGAAAAAUUUCAGGUGGCUUCUGAUAUUGGCAUGGCUGAAUGCAUGUACAAGCGUGCCAAUAGCAAAAUAAUUGUCUCAAGCUAUGUGAAUGGAGGGAAACCUUCAAAUGAAAGACUUGUUAAUCUGAUUGCAUGUAUGCAAUCAACUGGAGCAGAUGUUAUUAAGCUUGUUAUUGAUGUGGAUUAUAUCACAGAUUUGGCACCGGUUUUCCAGAUGCUUGCUCAUUGCCAGGUUUUUUUUUUUUUUUUUUUUUUUUUGAUGGGAAUUGCCAGGUUUUUGUUUAUACAAUUGAUGUCACAAAUUCAACAGCAUGCAUAUUAAGUUACGUAUUGCUUUCCUCGUAUUAGUUGUGACAUUCUUAAUGGGGCGCAAAUUUUCACAAGGACAUCACAAAUUUGCAAGUAUUCAUUAUAUGUUGGUUGUGACAUUCUCCAAGUAUUCAUUGUAACAUUCUCUAAUGGUCUGUAGUUCUCUUUAUUGUGUUUACUGUGAUAAAUUCUGUUCUCUGUUGCUAUUAUAAUUCUAUGAAGCAUGAAUGUGUUUCGGGACUCAGGUGCGGGUGUAGGACUCGGCUAUUGUUGGAAAAGGUGGAUACGGGUGCGGCGGGAUUCGGUGAUUAAAAAAUUAUUAAAAAUAUUUUUAUUUAUAUUUUUAAUAUAUUGCUAAGCAUACUUUUUCACAUUAUAUAAACAUAUACCAAAUUUAAAAGCAAUAGUAGAUAAUAACUAAAAUAUGAUGUUCAUAAAUUAAGUACAACCCACAAAAUUGAAACUAAAACAUUCCACAAAAUUGAAAGCUAAUUUCAGUUAAUUUAUCAAUUUCAAGUCUAAAUAUCUAUCCAAUAAUUAAAAUAAUGCUGUUAAAAUAAUUUUACUAUUAAAAUAUUCUUUAAAAAAAUUACUAUUAAAAACGCAGGCUCAAUUUAAAUAUUAAAAUAGUUUUAUUAUUCAUAUNACCGGCCAUAUCGGCGGUUUCGGCCGAAACGGCCCGAAUCGACCCGAGUCGGCCCAAGUUGAGCCGUGUCGGCGCAAGUCGGCUUCACCACGUGGCAGGACGCGGGUGCGGCGCCUCUGGCGCCGCGUCCGUGCUUUCCUUUUCCUAAUACAAUGCAACACUAAAAAGUAACAUUUGUUAGAAAGACUCAUGGCUUAAGAUAUAACAUGGUCUCUAGAACGCUAUAAUGCAGCAUUUCAAAACAACCUUAAACGCAGAAAUUCAACAGCAUGCAUAUUAAGUUACGUAUUACUUUCCUCGUAUGUGUGACAUUCUUAAUGGGGCGCAAAUUUUCACAAGGACAUCACAAAUUUGCAAGUAUUCAUUAUAUGUUAGUUGUGAGAUUCUCCAAGUAUUCAUUGUAACAUUCUUUAAUGGUCUGUAGUUCUCUUUCUUGUGUUUACUGUGAUAAAUUCUGUUCUCUAUUGCUAUUAUAUGUUUCCUAAUACAAUGCAACACUAAAAAGUAGCAUUUGUUAGAAAGACUCAUGGCUUAAGAUAUAACAUGGUCUCUAGAACACUAUAAUGCAGCAUUUCAAAACAACCUUAAACGCAAAAACUAAAAAGCAGAGUUAGAAUUCAUCCUGCACCUCUAGUACUUUCUUUGUUUUCAAAAGUUUUUCAGGCAUAAAGGAAUAUCAGAUAUUCCUCUUUCUACUUAUUUUUUCGAAUUAAAUUAAUUUAGUUUUCUUUCUGUAGUAUAAACAACAUUAGUCAUUUACUACUUCUAUGUGUAUCUCCAGGUGCCAUUUAUUGCUAUUGCAGUGGGUAGCACAGGUCUAAUAAGCCAACUAUUGGGUCCUAAAUUUGGUGGAUUUUUAGUGUAUGGAUCUCUGGAAGGAAAAUCAGUACCUGGGUUGCCAACUUUAGUCAGCCUUAAACAUGUUUACAAACUUGAAUACUUGAAUACGUGAGUACAAUUUUUUUUUUUUUUUUUUUACUUUAUUUAGGAUUAGGAUUUUCAAAAUUGUGUUAUCGAGUUCAUGCUACAUUUUCUAAAAAGUUUUACAAAAGGUCUUUUAAGUUUUUUGUAUAUUCUUGCUUUAAUAUCUAAAUAAAGUAUAAUAAAAAAAAAAAUUGAACUCACGGCUUGUAGAAUAAAAUUGCCAUGAAGAAGUUUACUUAACAUAAAAGGAUAUAAAGUUAAGAUUUUCAUAGCGGUAAUUACACAAUUUGGGUAAAUGCGUAUCUAGUUACAUUUAGACUUCCUCGGAUAUGCAUAGCUCAUAGACUAAUAGACUCUUCAUUCUAUAAUGCAACAAGAACUGACGCUGAUAAGGUAUUCCAUUUGUAGUUAAAGAAAUUAGUUGAGAGUAUUUUUUUUUUCUUCUGCGUGAGUGCAGGCUAGUCCCACUACCCUUCUUUUUAAUCAUCUACCACCCUUCUUAUUAAUAACCUUACUCCUCUUCAAAUAAAAAAUUUAAAAAAAAAUUCUAUAUAUAUAUAUAUAUAUUUUAUAGAAAUAAUGUCGCACAUCUGUGAUAUGUUUCUGGACAAACUACAUAUCCUAGUGGUGGAUGAUAUGCAGAUGCGUUUGAGGAUCUUAGAAGUGAUGCUUCGGACAAUUUAUUCUUGUAAUGGUAGGUGAUUAUAUUGUGAUUAUGUUUGUCACAAAUCAAAAACAAACAUAAAUUUACGUUUUUAAUUUUGUUUGUUUGUUUCAUUUUAGUUACUGUAUGCUCUAGCGGACAAGAUGCACUGUCAUUAAUUCGUCGGAACAAAGAAAUGUACGAUAUUAUUUUAUUAGAUGUUUUCAGGCCGGGAAUGAGUGGAUUAAAACUCUUACAUCAUUAAUAUAGAGACGAAUUUGUCCGUAAUUUGUAAGUACAUUGUUACACCUAAACAAAUGCUUUCUUCACUCACACAUCAUUAAAAAUUUAGCUAAUUCAAAUUACAGACAAAUUUGUCUCCAUAUUAAUGAGUUGUAGGAGUUUUAAUCCACUCAUUCCUAGCAUGCAAACACAAUUAAAAUAAUAUUGUACAUUUCUUUGUUUCGGCGAAUUAAUGACAGUGCAUCUUGUCCGUUGGAGCAUACAGUAACUAAACGCUCUGUUUGUUUUGACGUAAAAUAUUUUCAAAAAAGUAUUUUCUUAUUUUACAAUGUUUGUUUUGCAUUAAAACAUUUAGUCAAAAGUAAAAUAUUUUCAAUCAACUAAAUCAACUAGGCAAAUUUAUGUAAAACAUUUUACACUUCAAAUUUAGGUAAAACAUUUUACAUUUUCUUUCAAGCUCUCACCCCGAUACUCCAUCAAACCUCACUCCUUAGUGCCUUUCAUGCUCUCUCCCUUCUCACUCUCAAGUUCUCCCUCCCACAAACCAAAGCCACCAAGCCACUCUCAGCUUCGUCGGCGCCACUCAUCUGCGGCAACUCUCAUUGCCAACUCACCUCUGCCAUCGUCACCUGACUCGCCUCCACACCUCUACCCACCGAGUUUGGUUCAACCACUCAAACCCACCGAUUCUUUUUUUGAUCUGACCAUACACCAGCUCUUACUCCACCGAUUCUCUUACCACCAUCACACUGGCUCUACCUCCACCUUCAUCAACUCACCAACUGGUUCUUAGAUCUAGGUUUUUUUUUUUACCACUACAUGGGUUUAUUGAUUUGGGCCUUUUGGUUGGUUUUAUGAGUUGUGAUGGGUGGCUGGGUAUUUGAGUUGCAGUGGGUGGCUGCAUUUUUGGGUGCAUUUUUUACCAUUGGUUCUCACCUUUUUUUUUUUUUUUUUUUUUUUUUUUAAUUUGACACUUUAUCUAUUAUUAUAAAGUGAGAAACCGUCUAGCCUGUACUCCACUACUCCUAUCAUCCUAUGGCUAUGUUUUAAAGAAAAAACAUGUCCUAUCAAUUAUCAUGGCAGAAAAGGGUCCAAAGAGGGGGCUAAGGGGCAGAAAAGCUAUCAUAGUAAUUAGCAAAAAACGUGUCACAUCCCAUUAAACAAUUGUGCAGUGUGAAACAAACUAAAAAUAUAUAUAAUUUAUCUUAAAUAAAUAGAAGACUUUGAGUCUUCAUUUUUGGAAAGAAAAAGAGAAAGAGGGGAAGAACUGAAGAAAAAUACCUCUAGUAAGUGGUGACUGGUAGACUAGUACGCUGGAAUCAACAAAGAAAAAUUUCAAGCUAGACUGAUUGACUAAGUUUACGGAAAAGGAUCAAUAAUCAAGAUGAAGAUGAAGAAAAGAAAGGUAAGACCGUAAGAAUAUAGAUGGAGAGGCAGAGAGAUGAGAGGUUUUUCUUUUGUUUUUGAAAGUUAUAAUCUCUAUUUUAGCAUAUUUCAAGACAAUUAUAUUGUAUUAUUAAUGAAUUUGUCUGUUAUUAAUUUUGAUUUUAGCAUAUUUCAAAAAUGAGUUAAUAAAUUUGUCUCCUAAAAUUUAAUUUUGUUAGCUGAAGUUUGACUAUUUCUAAUUUUUCCCUUUUUAAUCUUUUUCAUUUUAGGAUACAAUGGGCCUUUUUAAUCCAUUUUAUUGACAAAAUAUAUAGAUAAAUAUAUUAUAUAUAUAUAUAAUUUUUUUUUUAACAAUUGGGGGCCUUCUUUUAUUUGGGGGUCUUAGACGAUUGCAUCAAUUGCAUCACCUGUUAAGCCGGCCCUGCAAAAACAUAAAGACUUUUUGCAAAACUUUUUAGAAAAUGUAGUAUGAACUCGAUAACACAUUUUAGAAAAUCCUAAUCCUAAAUACUUCUAGGUACAUAUGAGAUAUGACUCUACAGUCAUUCUAUUGUACCCCUUAUUUUUUUAGUGGCUACGGUACCCACCCAAAUCUAUACCAUUAAUUGGUGUUAUUUUAAUUGUGAUCAUUGAUUUAAGUUUAGUGCGAAACCUGUUACUGGGAGACUAGGUUAUUAUGUAAAAGCCUAAAAAAAAAAAAAAAAAAAAAAAAAAAAAAAACCGAAACUAGGUGAUUCUUUCUCAACUUCAUAUCCUCUGUCAUGUGCUCCUUCUUUUUCCUUCUCUUAAAAGAAGCUCAAAUUGCUUCUUCUCCCAUGUCCAUCAACUUCACAUCAUCCCAUCAGCGUCCUCGUUUACUUACUGCUGAGGGUUUUUUAAGGGAUAAACUCGUUUGAUUUUGUUUAGGGUAAGAAUCAAACAAAACCCUAAUAUCUCUGUCAUUGUUUUGUGCCCCUUUUUUCUUUUCUUUUCUUUUUUUUUCUUUUUGAGAAAAUUUUGAAAUUUCGCGCUUAAAUUUCAUUUCACUGUAACGUUGGCAAAUUUCUGUGCUGGUGAGGUACCAAUUUUGUUCUUUCAUAGUUUCUUAAAAAAAUAAUAAAGAAAAAUGGCUCUUUCAUAUAAGUGGCACAGAAAGUGCUUGUUGAAAUGCUUUUUAGGGAUUCAGUUUUUCCAAAACUUGUGGCUUUGUGUUCUACUCAUUAGGGGGUGUGAAUUCUUGUUAGUGUGGUGUUGAAAUUUUAUUUUUAUUUAUUUUAUUUUAUUGGUUAGCAGAGGAAAAAGGCAACAACUAUGUAUUUAAGGAGGAAGGAGUUUUAAAAAGAAAUAAAUUUUUUCUUUUAUGUCCUAGGGAGGACACGGGAAUAGAGUUGCUAUUUCUUUUUUUCUAUUUCAUUUCUUUUCUAUGUGGUGUACAACUAAGUUGUAAUUCUGUAGCUGUUGCAGCAUCUCGGAAUCAAAUUUUGAAUUUUGUUUUGAGUGUUUUCUAGUUUUAGAGUUUGAGAGCUAUUGUGUUGCAUUUUGGCUAGUACAGAAUUGGGUUUUUUGUACUUUUGCUUGCUAUUUGCAUCUUAGGUUGUUUCUGGUGUCUGUGCUAAUAAAAUUUUUUGCUUAUAAAAAAAAAAAUAAUAAAGAUAUUGUAGAUCAAAUUAACGAAAUUUUUAGAAACAUCCUGUUAUUUUAUGUUGACAUGUUGAAUCAGUCAAUAGCAUUUUUGGAUGGCCAAACAGACUGCUACUUUUUAUGCUAGUGCUUACUCAAUGGCAAGGGUUUUUAUUUUAUUUUUUUAUGACUGUCUCACUAGGUAAAUUUAGUUGCUCAAGUAAUAGACCUGCUUAUGUCCAAUUUCGAGGCACACAUUACCUCUCUCCCUUUUUAAAAUUUUUUUUUCUUGAAAUAAGAAAAAACGUCACUGCCAUAUAACACUUUGAGCUAACAUUUGUAUGUGUGAAAGAAAUUUCAAAAAAAAAAAAAAAACAAUUUAAAUGCUUAAGGUAACUUCUUCCCUUUAUUCUUGAAUUUGUUUUGGCUUUAAUACAUUGAGGACAAUGCAAUAUUUUAGUUGGGGAGAGAGGUUUAAACUUUUUGCUACACCUUGCAUGAUUUUUCCUUCUUUCUUUUCCACAAAAAAAAAGAAAAAACCUUGAAUUUGAAUGCAGAAGAAUUAUAAGCUUUAUUUUUAUAUCAUGUGAUGGAAUGAAUAAUGUUGAGUUAGUUAUACUAUUUGCUAUAUUAAGGCUCUUUCAUGAAGAGCACAAUUGCAAACUUUUGAGCACAAUAGCUAGGUUAGCAGAUGGUUGGAUGUUGGAUAUGCAUGGAUCAUGAACAAGCUAUAUAUAUAAGCUGAAACUCAACUAAUAUAGAGAGUUCUUGAGCCUUACUUUUCUUUGUGAGAGUAUAUCUUUGUUUGAACUCUUAAAUUUCUCUCAUAUGCUUCAAUUUUUGUAAAAGAUCUCUAUAUUUUUUGGUUAACUACUGGAAACAUUAUGGGGAGAUAUAUCAUGAUCCUACUUAUUUUUGUCCUUAGGCAUGCUGGUUUAUGUGGAAUUUUAGGAGAUGAGAGCCUAAGACCACCAAUUUUUUGUCACUAGUUAAACAAAUAUUCAGCCUACCUUUACAUUAACCAUUGUCACCAUCAUUUGAGCCGUGAGAAAUACUUCUACAAUUGCACAAAACAUUUUUAUUUAUGGGCAUUCUCAUGGGGGUUCAAGUUUUGAGCAAUUGAUGUGUUUAGACACCACCAUUAUCUCUCUUUUCUUCAAAAAAAAAUCAAAAAGAAGAAAAAGAAAAAAAAAAGAAAAAAAAAAGAGAAAAGAAAGAUAAAAAAAAAUAAUAAAAAAAAAAAGAGAAAGAAAAAGAAAGAGGAGACAUACAUAAUCAAUCAAUAAAUCAUUAGUGUCUUACACAUCUUUCAUGUAUUUCAGAAGGGUUAUAUGGUUGAGUAAAGGUUAUUUUGAUUCAAUUUGGUUGUUAUCGCUAUGAGUUGGGUUUGGUUUGAAUUUUCUGCAUUUGAUCCAUAUACCUCAUAUUUCAAAGAGAGUAGUUUGCCUUCAUAAGAUUAUACUACCACUGAGCUAAAAGUACUACUUCAUCCUAAAGGUGUAUGGCUAGUAUGUGUUUGGGAUAAAAACUAGGGAUGAGAAUGGUAUUAACCUCAUGUUUCUAGGAAUUCAACAUCCUUUUCAAGAGAUCUUUUUUUGUUGUUUUAGCGGCUAAUUUUGUAUACACAUGUGAUAUUCUUAAAACUUCUUCUUUCCUUUUUGUUCACAUGUGAUUUGAAGAGAAAAACCAUUACUUCUAUGUGUGUUCUUUCAGAGUGUUGUUGACUUAAGAGAGGUUUUGGAGUAGAGGCUCUAAUAUAGAUUAUUCUUGGUCUAUGCAUGUUUGGAAAAGCUGGUUUGAUUGGAUGGGCUAUGCACACACACACUUCAAAAGUGAAGCUAAUGAAAACUCUUUAAUAUGAUGAAUAGUAUCCCAACUCAAAAUUGAAAGUUCAUUUGUAUGAUAUAAUGAGAAAGCAGACUAAUAUUUGUUGCAGGAAUUUUCAAGAAACCUUUGACUUUUGUGGGUAAAGUCAUUACAAACCCUCCUGAGAGCAUUAGGGUGACCUAGGGGUCAAAGAUUUGCUGCACAUGGGAAGUGCAGUCGUGUAGCCUACGAAAGUGGGUUGUAUUUUAGUUUUAAUUUUUUACUUUUAGUAGACAUGGAUGCUUUGUGGAUUGCUAAGGACUAGCAAGAUUUAAGUUGGGGGAGUGUGAUGACGCCUUAAAAUGUGUACUUGUUAUAUAUUUAUGUAAAUGUUAUCUCCUUAUUACUAUGCUUAAUUUGUAUAAUUAAGCCAUGAUUUGCAUUAAUCCCUAUUAUUUAUCUUUACAUAAUUUCUUGAAUAAGAUGUCAUUCAUUGUGUGUAAUUCUUUACUUUCAGGAAAUCAUGUGAGAAAGAUGAGUUUACAAGAAUUUGUAAGAGAAUGGAGGCCAAAUUAGAAUUAAAGUGGAGCUAAAGGAUCAUGCUUAAAUGUCUAAGGAGGUGCAGCUGGAGUGCUUGGAUCGUUUACCAUGAUUGGAAGCUUCAAAUAAGGAAAGAAAUCAAAGAAAUGGAAUCUAAAAAGGAAAAAUCUGAUUUGAGCACUGAUCAGUAUUUUAGGCGUAUCACUCUCCUCAAAAAUCCAAUUGACACGAGACCAGAUAGGUUAGAACCAUGACUUAAAUAUCUACAACUUUACAGUUUUGAGUUUUUUGAAAUUAUUAAAUUUUAAAGGUUGAAAUUAACUCACAAGUUACUGCUGUAAACUUGGACGAAAAUUAAAAAUAGUAAAAGUUUUAUUUUCUUUGGACACUUUUACUUUAGGGUUUUGAAUGGAGGCUUUGGAGAACGAAUUUGAGAGAAAAUCUUGUAUUUUCAUUUCUCUAAUGGCAGCCUAAACUCUUUGUUAGAGCUAGAGUUAUGUUUCUUCUAUACAGUAUGAAUAUUUAAUAUGAUUCUUUCUAGGAUUUUUUCAACAACAUAUUUGAUUAUUCAAUUAGAUUUCUUUUGAUGUAUUUGCUCUUCUAUGCUUUCAAUAAGUUCAAUCAUGUUUUUCUUAUUGUUUAAAUAAAUUUCUAAUAGUUUCAAAUAGAAAUCAGGUUUUAAAGUGAAUGAGUUUUUCUGAAAAUUUUUCUAACCGCAUUAUUAAUCUAAGUUAUCAUGCGUUUUUGAAUUGUCUCAGUUCAAUUGAAUUAUAAGUAUUUAAUUGUAUAAGAACAAUCAGUUAUGAUAUAUAUAAUUUCUUAGAUCACAAAGAAUUUCAUAUCGAUAUAAGGAAGCACCUCGAUGCCCUAGUAUUUACAUUAUUAAUUUAAAUCAGUUAUCACUGUUAUUCUUGUUUACAAUUACCAGGCAAAAAUUAUUCUUCAUCUUCACCAAUAGUUUUUUUUUUUUUUUUUUAAUUACAUUAUCUUUGAAUCUACCCCGCUCCUUAUGGUUCGACCUCAGUACUUUAAAAAUUAUAUUGCUAUGAUCUCUUACGUUUGGGAAUAUGCAAGUAGUACCUAAAAGCCAAUUUUUUUUCUUUUUCUCUAUCACUAUGGCAUUGACAGGAGUCAGACACUACCCUUGGACAUGUGGCUACCUCUUCACCUUUCAUUUUUUUUAAAAAGAAAAUUAUUUGAUUUGAGACGUGUGAUUUGGACCUUUGUUUGUUUGUCUUUUUUUGAAGGAAAUCGGUCCUUUCUUAUAUAGCAUACGUACAACCCCCCCAAUUCUACUGUCAAUGUAAUUGUAGAUUAAAAGUUGCAUAAAACAUUGUAUAUAUAUAUUUAUAAAAAUGGUACAAUAUUAUACAAAUUUGCAUGUUGUAAACAUUUACUUAGUCUAUAAUGUAAAUCUUACCUUAAUGGUAUAUUGUAAAUAAAUAAUUUUCUUUUUUAUUUUUAUUUUUAUUUUGUUUAGCAAUUGAUAAUAUUGCGUUUCUUUAAUUUUUUUUUUUUUUUUUUCAAAACCAUGAAUUUCUUAAACCAGGCAUGGUAGAGUUAUAAAGGCUCAGGGAUGAUUUCCAAUGGGUUUAUUUUUGGUUUGAGUGCUAUAGAGUGUAGCCAAUAUAAAGUUAUUGGCUUGACACGGAAGCAUGGUGUUGUAAUAUCAUGCAUGCAACCAUGUUGCUUGGAAUUUGAAGCUAACUAUAUAAUAAAUAUUAUAUUAUAGAUUCACACAUUAUAUUUUGAGCAAUUUUUUUUUAUAAGAAAAAUUUCAUUGUUAAUAAAAUAAUUUGAGCAUUUUAUAAGUCUUCAUUAAUCAAAAUUACAUAAAAUUGCACAUCAUUUCAUUCAUAACUCGAUUUUUAACUUUGAAAACUAAUGCUUGUGUGAGCAAAACUCUUUCAAUUUUCCUCUUUCUUGUGUGUGUUUGUUUCUCCAAAAAAAGUUUGUAAAAACUAAAUAGAUUAAUACAACGAAAUGAAUAUACUUUCUUUUCGUGAAAGUUUUUUAAAAAAACAAAACAUAAUUUCAUUAAAAUACUAUUUAAUAUUCAAAUGAAUAAAUUAUAAUUUUUCAAAUUUGUGUCAAAUACAUUCACGAUGUGCAUAAUUGUAAGUUAUUUAUAAAUUUUGCCCCCCUCCCCUCAACUUAAAUCUUAGCUCCACUACUAAGUGUGGAUAAACUGUUGUAGUAAUAUAUUGCUAGGAUUUUAUAGUAUAUAUAGAUAACUAGAGUAAAUUAUUUUCAUACUAUAUAUAAAGUUACUGAUGUAAAUUCCUGACUCUCUUUGUGAUGAGAUGACAAGCUUGAUCAGGAAUUUCUUGUGGGGACAAUGCAAGGAGGAACGGAAAAUGGCGUGGAUCAGCUGGGAGAAACUUUGUGCUCCAAAGGAUAGUGGGGGAAUGGGUUUUAAGCAACUAAAACAAUUUAAUCUGGCUAUGUUGGCAAAACAAGGUUGGCGACUCCAAACUGGGACUAAUUCUCUAUUGUAUAGGGUUUUUAAGUCCAAAUAUUUUCCAACUUGUGAGUUUGUUGAUGCUAGUCUUGGUAGAAAUCCUUCCUUCGCCUGGAGGAGUAUAAUGGCUGCCCAAGCUUUAGUUCAAAAAGGUAGACGGUGGCAAGUUGGUAAUGGUCGUAGCAUAAUGAUUUGGAAGAAUAAAUGGCUGCCCUCUCCCUCUACUUAUGAAGUUGUCUCUCCAGUAAACAACAUACCUGAGGAUUCCAGAGUUGCUGAUCUGAUUGAUGAAGAAAAGGGUGCUUGGAAAAUUGAUUUGGUGCAUAAUGUUUUUCUCCCUCAUGAAGCGGAUGUGAUCUGUGGUAUUGCGUUGUGUGCAAAUCUGCCAGAAGACAAGCAAGUGUGGGCGCUGACAAACAAUGGACUUUUUAGUGUCUGUAGCACUUAUAAACUGGCUAUGGAGCUGAGAUCAGAUGCACAAGGGGAAUCUGGGUCUGAUGGGAGUCAUUUAAGGAGGUUUUGGAGGGCCAUUUGGAGCCGAAUAUCCCACACAAGAUCCGCCACUUUGCAUGGAGAGCCUGCAGAGAUGUGCUACCCACGAAAGAGAACCUGGUUAGAUGGAAAGUACUCUCGGAAAGUUGCUGUGAAGAAUGCAAACUAGCUGAAGAAACAUUAGGCCACCUUUUUUGGAGUUGUGAAAGAGCCCGUGAAAUUUGGUGCUUGUCUACUUUGUUUCAGGAUUCUCUAGUCCAGCACUUUGGGUCGUUCAUGGACAUGUUAUGGUACGUGGUUAUGAUGGCAAAAUGGGAGCACAGUGA
rnacentral:sRNA from 1 species